GCUGGCGGCGUGCCUAAUACAUGCAAGUCGAACGAGUUCUGAUUAUUGAAGGGUGCUUGCAUCUUGAUUUAAUUUUGAACGAGUGGCGGACGGGUGAGUAACACGUGGGUAACCUGCCCUUAAGUGGGGGAUAACAUUUGGAAACAGAUGCUAAUACCGCAUAAAUCCAAGAACCGCAUGGUUCUUGGCUGAAAGAUGGCGUAAGCUAUCGCUUUUGGAUGGACCCGCGGCGUAUUAGCUAGUUGGUGAGGUAACGGCUCACCAAGGCAAUGAUACGUAGCCGAACUGAGAGGUUGAUCGGCCACAUUGGGACUGAGACACGGCCCAAACUCCUACGGGAGGCAGCAGUAGGGAAUCUUCCACAAUGGACGCAAGUCUGAUGGAGCAACGCCGCGUGAGUGAAGAAGGCUUUCGGGUCGUAAAACUCUGUUGUUGGAGAAGAAUGGUCGGCAGAGUAACUGUUGUCGGCGUGACGGUAUCCAACCAGAAAGCCACGGCUAACUACGUGCCAGCAGCCGCGGUAAUACGUAGGUGGCAAGCGUUAUCCGGAUUUAUUGGGCGUAAAGCGAGCGCAGGCGGUUUUUUAAGUCUGAUGUGAAAGCCCUCGGCUUAACCGAGGAAGUGCAUCGGAAACUGGGAAACUUGAGUGCAGAAGAGGACAGUGGAACUCCAUGUGUAGCGGUGAAAUGCGUAGAUAUAUGGAAGAACACCAGUGGCGAAGGCGGCUGUCUGGUCUGUAACUGACGCUGAGGCUCGAAAGCAUGGGUAGCGAACAGGAUUAGAUACCCUGGUAGUCCAUGCCGUAAACGAUGAAUGCUAGGUGUUGGAGGGUUUCCGCCCUUCAGUGCCGCAGCUAACGCAUUAAGCAUUCCGCCUGGGGAGUACGACCGCAAGGUUGAAACUCAAAGGAAUUGACGGGGGCCCGCACAAGCGGUGGAGCAUGUGGUUUAAUUCGAAGCAACGCGAAGAACCUUACCAGGUCUUGACAUCUUUUGAUCACCUGAGAGAUCAGGUUUCCCCUUCGGGGGCAAAAUGACAGGUGGUGCAUGGUUGUCGUCAGCUCGUGUCGUGAGAUGUUGGGUUAAGUCCCGCAACGAGCGCAACCCUUAUGACUAGUUGCCAGCAUUUAGUUGGGCACUCUAGUAAGACUGCCGGUGACAAACCGGAGGAAGGUGGGGAUGACGUCAAAUCAUCAUGCCCCUUAUGACCUGGGCUACACACGUGCUACAAUGGAUGGUACAACGAGUUGCGAGACCGCGAGGUCAAGCUAAUCUCUUAAAGCCAUUCUCAGUUCGGACUGUAGGCUGCAACUCGCCUACACGAAGUCGGAAUCGCUAGUAAUCGCGGAUCAGCACGCCGCGGUGAAUACGUUCCCGGGCCUUGUACACACCGCCCGUCACACCAUGAGAGUUUGUAACACCCGAAGCCGGUGGCGUAACCCUUUUAGGGAGCGAGCCGUCUAAGGUGGACAAAUGAUAGGGGGG
rnacentral:rRNA from 1 species